CAUGCUGUACCAAAAGGAAGUGCAGGUGAUAGACUAGAAGAAAGUGGGCCUUUGAAACAGACAGAUGUGGACUGAAAUCCCAAUUAUACAAUUCAUGAGCAGCAUACCCAGCUCUUUCCUGCAAUACUAACCGAUUACCACCAGAAGCAGAUAUCAGACACGUACAACAGAUGCAGAAAAUCACUCUAAAAAUGAGAACAGUCACUGGGAUUCUUUGAUAGUUACCAAGAUUCAUACAUGGCAAAAGCAUUUAAAAUGCCAUCUAUCAUCUGGACCGCUACUUUAAAUCCCUCAGGCAAAUGUUUUUGUAAACAAUUGGCCCUUGAAGGUAUCCUUGGAGCCAGGAAACUCAUGUUUCAUUGGUUCAAGAGAAGAGGCACAUUCCAGAGUUGAGGAUCCUCUGAGGACAAAACUUAUCCAGAGAACAAAUCCGAACUUUAAAAUCUUGGCCCUGUCACUUGAAAACGGUGUAACAUUGAAAAUGAGUAAAAGUCUACUAAUGUACUUCCACUUCAGGAAGAUUCCAAUUUCGUGACCCAGCCAAGAGGGCAAUUAAGAUUCCAGAGAUAAAAAUUGCUUCAUCUGUAGAGGAUGGGCAACGGAUGCCCCAGUUCUGAUCCUGUGCUUCAUCAUCCGUGAAUGUUUACUUUCUUCAGAGAAUUGACACAAUCAAACUUUUCAGUUAUUUUUCCAGAAGAGGAAAUAUACAUUGUACUUCCAUACAAUGUCAUGGUGAGGUGAGAGUUCAUUGUAUAGCUAACUCACAUGAAAUAAGA